rnacentral:rRNA from 1 species
UACGAAGGGUGCAAGCGUUACUCGGAAUUACUGGGCGUAAAGCGUGCGUAGGUGGUUCGUUAAGUCUGUCGUGAAAGCCCCGGGCUCAACCUGGGAAUGGCGAUGGAAACUGGCGAGCUAGAGUACGGUAGAGGAGAGUGGAAUUCCCGGUGUAGCAGUGAAAUGCGCAGAUAUCAGGAGGAACACCAAUGGCGAAGGCAGCACUCUGGGACGUGACUGACGCUGAGACGCGAAAGCGUGGGGAGCAAACAGG